GAUGAACGCUAGCGGCAGGCCUAACGCAUGCAAGUCGAGGGGUAGAAGUCUUCGGACUUUGAGACCGGCGCACGGGUGCGUAACGCGUAUGCAAUCUGCCUUGUACUAAGGGAUAGCCCAGAGAAAUUUGGAUUAAUACCUUAUAGUAUAUAGAUGUGGCCUCACAUUUAUAUUAAAGAUUUAUCGGUACAAGAUGAGCA
rnacentral:rRNA from 1 species